UACGUAGGUGGCAAGCGUUGUCCGGAUUUAUUGGGCGUAAAGGGAGCGCAGGCGGUGACUUAAGUCUGAUGUGAAAGCCCACGGCUUAACCGUGGAGGGUCAUUGGAAACUGGGUCACUUGAGUGCAGAAGAGGAAAGCGGAAUUCCAUGUGUAGCGGUGAAAUGCGUAGAUAUAUGGAGGAACACCAGUGGCGAAGGCGGCUUUCUGGUCUGUAACUGACGCUGAGGCUCGAAAGCGUGGGGAGCAAACAGGAUUAGAUACCCCGGUAGUCC
rnacentral:rRNA from 1 species